UUAUAUUAUAUAUGCAGAUACUACCUCCUUUGCUUGUUUCUAGUGUUGCCUUACAUGUGCUCUAUUGUUUCUUUUGAUGCAGGUACAUGAAUACCUGUCGGCAUGCCCUCGAUACAUUCAGAUUUUAGCACCGAGACUCUCACACCGCAAGUUUGACACUGACAGGGAAGUCGGUCAAAAUCAAUCCUCCGUGAUGUUUUUGUUGCGCAUGUGCUGCUUCAACUCUAGUUAAUUUGCUCUAUUAUUAUCCCACAAGCUGCAGUGACGGAGAUCACACGCUCCUUCGACCAGCCACGGCCAGCCUCCGUGUUCGGCCCCUUCAGCCUCGCCCCCGAACUCGCCCGCUGCUCCUUCAACCACAUGCUCUGCUGCGAGUGUGCUGGGCGUCGUCCUCCUUGACGCGUCCGCCCCCGACGAGCUCUCCUGGUCGGAGGAGGUGGAGCAGCAAGACCUCCUAUCCUCCAGCGCGUGGACCGACAAUUGCGUCCUCCUGCUCUCCUAGCGUGUUUGCUCUCUGCUAUGCCAAAGCCAUCAUUGUGAGCCAUCAGUGCAUUACAUUGUGUUUCCCAGAAUUACUCUCCCAGGUCGGUCUCUAUCGCGUAUACCAUGAUCGGAGAUGUCUUCCUGUACAUUUAUGGCAAGGAUGAAUAUGAUGAGC